UACGAAGGGGGCUAGCGUUGCUCGGAAUCACUGGGCGUAAAGGGUGCGUAGGCGGGUCUUUAAGUCAGGGGUGAAAUCCUGGAGCUCAACUCCAGAACUGCCUUUGAUACUGAAGAUCUUGAGUUCGGGAGAGGUGAGUGGAAUUCCAGGUGUAGCGGUGAAAUGCGUAGAUAUCUGGAGGAACACCGGUGGCGAAGGCGGCAUCCUGGACCGACACUGACGCUGAGAAGCGAAAGCGUGGGGAGCGAACAGG
rnacentral:rRNA from 1 species